rnacentral:rRNA from 1 species
AUUGAACGCUGGCGGCAUGCUUUACACAUGCAAGUCGAACGGUAACAGGCCGCAAGGUGCUGACGAGUGGCGAACGGGUGAGUAAUGCAUCGGAACGUGCCCAGUCGUGGGGGAUAACGCAGCGAAAGCUGUGCUAAUACCGCAUACGAUCUAUGGAUGAAAGCGGGGGACCGUAAGGCCUCGCGCGAUUGGAGCGGCCGAUGUCAGAUUAGGUAGUUGGUGGGGUAAAGGCCCACCAGGCCGACGAUCUGUAGCUGGUCUGAGAGGACGACCAGCCACACUGGGACUGAGACACGGCCCAGACUCCUACGGGAGGCAGCAGUGGGGAAUUUUGGACAAUGGGCGCAAGCCUGAUCCAGCAAUGCCGCGUGCAGGAAGAAGGCCUUCGGGUUGUAAACUGCUUUUGUACGGAACGAAACGGUCUGGGUUAAUACCCUGGGCUAAUGACGGUACCGUAAGAAUAAGCACCGGCUAACUACGUGCCAGCCGCCGCGGUAAGAC